UCUCGGUACUUUCAGAAGCAAAAGGUCAAGGUGUAUGUACUUUCUUAGUUUGCUCCUUUGCCUCCACGAUAUUUGGAAACCAUCUGAUGUAAUGUUCUUGCUUCCUGAUAAUGUUCACUUUGUUGCUAUUUAGAGAUGAUGCGUCUGUAGUUCAUCAUUUGUUCUCUGAAUAUCUGGAAACCAUCUGUGGUAAUGUUCCUGCUUCCUGGUACUUUUGUUUCAUUAGAACACUGCAGAUGGAGUUUGACAUUUUAAUUUAGAUGAUUUGAUGUAUGUGCAUAUCUAAGUUUAGUUACAGUGUUCUCUAUCUGUGACGAGUAGGUUUUGUGUUCCGUAUCAACGCACAGGCAACUUACUAUUUUUGGUAAUCUAAGAGUUGGGUUCCCAAGUUUUCAGGCCAUCUUACUUGAUAUUCUGUUAACACUUUUCUUUCCUACCACAAUAGCCAUUAAACAGCGUGUUUCUUUUGAUUUAACUACAUUAAAGCCCUUUUGAUUGACAUCGCAGAAUUCCUAAAACACAUGUUUAGAAAGAAUGUCAUCAUGUAUUUGAUACUACGGUACUUUUUUUUAUCGGGUGUAUCCUACAGUACUACUGUAGUGAUGAAAGAGGAGCCAGUUAAGAGUAUAAUUAUCAAUUGUUGUGAACAGAAAUAAUUUGUGAAGUCCGUUGCAACGCACGCUCCUGCAACGCUGCUCCCUGUGCUGACUUGCAGAUAAAGCCAUGGCGAAGCUAACUCACCUGUCGCUUGGCGCUUGCUCUCCCGCCGUCCCAUCGGCCAUCUACUCAGGCCACGUGCUCCUCUGACUGAGCCGGCUCCGCCGCGCGCUGCCGUGAGGACCUCCGUCCCCAACCUCCAUACCUCCGCAGUCCGCGCUCCUAUCGCCACCGCCGGCAACGCGCCUGCGCCGCCCUUCGGAGACCCGGCGACCACGCGCUGCUCUGUCGGUUCCUGGGCUGGCGACGUGUGGUGGUUCUUUGUUGCUCCACAGCCGUGUGCGCUCGCCGACAACAAAUGUUGUGGAUAUGAGAAAGCCAUGAGAUUGAUACAGCGUUGCCGGUUUUUAUAUCAGUUCCCCCCCUGAACCGGCAACUGCCAAUAACACCAACGGGGCAUGGCAGCUGGAUCUUAGCAUGGAUGAUCAUUUUGUAAGUUGGCAGUUUGGCAUACAUUUGACAUAUUUGUUGAGCUAGCUUGAUUGCUCAAGGCAAGGGACUUUUGUCUGUACUUUGCCAUCUCUACCUGCAAGGUUUUCAAUCCUGAAAUGUCGAGAAUGUAAGUAUCUUAGAGCACUCUUAUAGUCUUAUGAAUGCUUAGUCCCCAUGACAUGCUGUUUUUUCUUCCAAGUGAGAAUCCUAAAGGCUACAUGGGCCAUUGGAAGGUUUGACGGUUCUCUUAAUCGUGUUCUCACAGAGGUCUGCUUUAUUUUAAAAAAAUCAUUCAAAAUAGAUCACACCGUGUUAAUGUGGCUGGGCAAAAGAGCUCAAACUGGUCGAUACAGAUCUGGGUAUGAUGCUAAACGUGUCAGUAUUGCUAAAUAAAUUAGAUGUCUCUAGACUUCCACUUACUGGAUGGAUAGUUUGACGGUUGACAUAGCACUAAGUUUUCCUUCCUCAGUGGCCUUACUGUCAUGUAUUAAUGAUUUUAAUCUAUUUCAUUUGCCUUCAAGGAUGCAUGAUUUUUUAUUUGAAGUGUAAAUGCUUCAUUGUCCUACAACUACCUUAUGCCUUCUGACACUGGUUCCUUUUGGUUUGCAGAAUGAUGGUUUCUGUUUACUUCAAGAUGUACCUUCGGUACCAUUCAGUUCUGCAUAUCUGAGCAGCUUUGACUUGUGGUACUCUAUCUGUCAUUGCUGAGAUAGCUCUCUAUUUGUUCUGUUUCGAACAUUCAUUUCUAUGUCUAAAACCAAUUUCAGUCUUCAUAUAGGACUGAGUGUUCACCAUGGUUUUGGUUAUUGACUGGACAUUCUUUACCAAGGAGGGAAGGUAUCCGCGGCUACCAAAAAAAUAUCGGACAGUUACUGGACGAAAUUUCAAACCAAAUAUGCGCGCGUAUGUUUUAGGAAUAUUGAAUCCAAAACCUUAAAAUAAUUUGAAGUUAUGGCAAUCACUCGAUAACAGCUCAGUAACACAGUGUACCGUGAAAUCUUUGAAGAAUAUCAAAAAUAGAAAAAAAACUGAAAUAAUUACUGGGCGGGAACUAAAAUUAGUCCAUGAUAACUAACACCAUAGUGUUCACGCCUUCCUUUUUUUGCAAAACUGUUGCAGUGAGUUAUUUAUUGCCAAAGAUGGUUGGAGACUCCAACAAGGAGACUACACAUAUACAAAAUACUGAAAACCAGAGCAGUGUAGAGAUUGGAGCUACUCUUGUAUGGCGAUUUGCUCGCCAGGAUCUUAGCUCCCUUGCAUGCUUACGUCGGGUUAGUCCAUUGGCUAAGGUAACCGAGAAUUCCUCCAAAGCUCCGGCCCUCGAAAGCAGAAACUUUGCAAGAAUCUUCUCAAGUGGCAGUGCUCUGUACUUUCCAAUGUUGAUUCUUCUCAGCUUAUUAUCCAAGCACCUGAUGUGCAUCCCCAACAAACUAUCAGGCACCUGCCUAUCAUGGUCAUCACCCUCACCGAUGAUGCCGUUCUCUGACUUGGUGUCUGAUUCGCUAUCGGAAUACGAGGAUUGCCACU